GGGUCGGUCGUCCAACCUGGUUAAGAUGCCACCCUUACAAGGUGGAGAUUGUAGGUUCGAAUCCUGCCCGACCCA
rnacentral:tRNA from 1 species